rnacentral:misc_RNA from 1 species
CAAUCAGCCACGCCGGCGUAGAACCUCCGCCGCCGUCGCCACCACCCUCCUGGGCCUCGCUCAGCAUCUGCGGCACCGGGGAAAGCAGCAAGAGAAACUACAAUGCUUCGCCGCAGUCGCCGCUUGCUGUUGGCUGCAGCAGGGGCCCGCCCUGCCGCCUUCACCCCUCGAGCCAGAGAGGCCGCCGGCACCUGCGGCAACGAGGAGCGCGACAGCAACACCAGCAGUGGCCAUGGCGGCUUUCUAGCCACGCUGCGCCAUCUCGUGGCGUGGAACCGCACGAACGCGGCGGCCGCCGCAUCGUCGUCAUCCGCGUCGUGUGCAGAAACCCCAGCAUGCGUCAGCAACAACGCAGCACUCGACGCCGUCGAGGCCGUCGUGCGCGCCCGGUGGACGUGCCGGCAGUUCGACACGGCGAAGCCGAUAGACCUCGACACCCUCAAGCGCGUCUUGGCGGCGACGACCCGCGCCCCGACCGGUUUCAACCUUCAGGGCUGGCACGCGGUCGUCGUCACCAACACGGCGGUGCGGGAGCAGCUCUUCAAGGCAGCGCUCGGCCAGCCGCAAGUGCUGCAGGCGCCGGCGACUGUCGUCUUCGUUGGAGACACGGAGCCGGAGCGGAACGCGCCGCAGGCGCUUGAGAUGGGGCUCGAGACGGGCUACUAUAGCCCCCUCUACGGUGCCGCCUACCUGCGCAACAUCUACUACUUCAUGCAUGGCGGUCCGAUGCAGUCGAUGGCCGCCGUGAAGUCGGUCGUGAGUGCGUGGUACAGCCAGGCGGCUGGCACGCCGCUCAUCUCCGUCCCGGUGAGCCGCGCCGGCUACGCGUGGAAGCAGACGAUGAUUCCGGCGACGACGUUCGUGAAUCUCUGCGCCGCCGCCGGCUGGGACACGUGCAUGAUGGAGGGCAUCGACGAGGAUGCCGUCAAGCGAGCCUUGGGAGUGCCGGCGGAACGGUACACGGUGCCGGUCAUCAUCAGCGUCGGCUACGCGACCGCCGCGGAGGCCGAGAAACGCCAGGUGGGCAGCUCCCGCUUCGCGACGCCGCACACCGUGCGGUGGAACAAGUUCUAGUUUAGACUCGGCACCAGAGAUGAGAAGGAAAAGGGGUGCACGCUACGUGUGGCCCAUGGAUGCGUCUCCCUCCCUCCCUCUCUCGCACAGACACACCCCGCACCUCUGCUCUUCACAGUCGCACGCGCCUCCACUGGGCACGUCGGCACGUGCCACACGCGUCUGUGCAGGCACACAUCGCCAGCCGCGUAACGUAACAAGAGAAGCACCAAUAAAAAGAAUCGGUGCCACCGUCGCUGUCAGCGGCAGGCAGGCGAGCGGGCCGUGCUGAGGAAGCUCACUCCGUCUCGUUCGCGUCGAGUGCGAGCCAUGGGAUGGUGCACCAGGGAGGAGGAGGAAGGAGGCGGGGUUCUCCUCUGGCGCGGGUCUUUCGUGGGGGCAGCUGCUGCCGAUUCGCACACCGCCCCCGUCUCUGCCACCCUCCAGCCUUCGCCCCUUCACGACCGGCUGCUGCUGUCUUGGCUGCUGGCUGCGCCGGUGUGGCCUCUUUCACGCCUUUACGCCCCCCCUCGAACACCUACACGCCAAACUCGAGGACGGGCAAGCACGCUUUCACCCGGUACGCUUUCAUCACGCAACGUGCCUCUCAUCACGCGUGCGUGUGCGUCAGGCUACCACGUCUUAGAACACGCACCACCACUGCACAUCACCGUAACUGAAGCAGCAGCAGGCUCCUCACUCAACCACCCAUUCCCAAGCCAUACACCCCUUUCCUUUGUUUUAUUUCUCGACGUCGGAGCGGAGCGGCUGCUGGCCCAUCCACUUCCGCCAACCAUCACUACACCCGUCACUCUCGCUUGCGUGGUGUGCCGCGCUCGGUAACGCUCCCAUGUUUCCAG